UACUGAGGGUGCACUCGAUCCCCUCAUCCAGAUCAUCGAUAAAGACAUUAAAGAGAACUGGCCGCAGUACUGAGCCCUGGGGGACUCCACUAGUGACCGGCCUCCAACUGGAUUGAACUCCAGUUACAUUUAACUGGAUUGCAACAGCAGGCGUGCUUCUAGCCACGCGUGCCUUUUUCCAGAGAGAAAGCCGAAGAAAUUGGCAAACGGCAGCCGGCUGCACCUUGAGGGGCAAGGGCAGAGCAAACCCCGGGCUGGCACAGCCGGGAGCAUCCCUGCAGAGAGCUGCAACGUCCCUGACAGCAGUUUUGUUCAGGGGGACCCGGGGCCACGUGGGACAGCCUCGGCUGUGCCUCCCACUGCGCGCUGCAGCCUCUCUCGCCUCCAGAUCGGUCACUGUUCUCUGCAACGUGCCGUGCCCUGCAGCACGCUUUCCCCCUCUUUUUCUGGGGGAAGAAACGUCUGACUUCCUCUUACACGUUUGGUAUUUGUGGGUAGGGAAAGGAGGAGAAAAUACAGGGCGCUCUGUGUACGAGUGCCUUCUCUUCCUUACGGGGAGGCAGCAGGCCAUCCAGGCACUGUUCCAUCAUCCCCAGUACAACUGCCUGCUUUAUUCUAACCUGGCUCUCCGCAAGAACACGGGCUGAAGUUCCUAACAGCCUGAUGUGCUCAUGCAGCAACAUGGAAGCUGCUCUGCAAGCUCUGUGCAUUUACUUAUGGUCAAACGAAGCCAAAUACCACUUUGUCCUUGUAAGCGACCAACAAAGGUCACUGACGUCUGUCGCUGGGGCUGGGGCCCCACUGCACGGGCAACCCCGCUGGCUUCAGCAGAGACCCCUGCAUGACGUCAGGCAGAAUUCUGACCCAAAAUUGGACUGAUUUCGGGCACACCGAGACUAAAGGCCCUCACCUCAAAUGGCUCUCAGCGCCCUACAGGACACUGGCCGAACUAAACCACCGCACGCUCCUGGCCGCUCCUUUCCAGCACUGUGCCGGACAAUUGUCCACGCCCUACAGGACAGGUAAGAUCGCCCCAACCCACACCCACUGCUGUCUCACAGCAAGCAGGACGGUGACACGAUCGGGCCAGGAUGGCAGUAUUCACUCCAUCAGGAUGACGGGACACCGACGGAUGUGGUGAGACGCUCGAGACCCUCAGGCAGAAAGGCAGGGGCUGUCCGUGGUCACAGGGGGAUGCUGCUCGGUUUGUUCCUUCUCUUAUUAAAGCCAGACACACACAGCAAUGGGACUAGACCACGGCACUCUCCUGGCCUCUAUUCCCUUGAGAACUCAGCAGGAGAAGAUGCCAACACUCUACAGGACAGAUAAGACAGCCCAACCCAUUCCCCACCACAGUCUCAAUGCCUGAGAAGUUGGCCCAACACGGCUCACUCUUGGCCGUCAGGCAGACACAGCAAGGACGGCCUUCGAGUGAGGCUGGGAGAGCCUUAGGCUGGAAGGCAGUGGCUGCUCCUGGCCACAGGGGAAGGCUGCUCCCUUUUGGCUUCCUCUCUUACAGCUGGAAACACACACAGUGAUGGGACCAGACCACGGCACACUCCUGGCCUCACUGCCCUCGACCACUCAGCUGGAAGGAAGAGCUGCCACCGCUCUCCAGGACAGGUAAGAUCGCCCCAACCCACACCCACCACGGUCCACAGCAAGCAGGAAGGUGACACAAUCGGGCCAGGACAAGAGUGACCGCUCCAUCAGGACGACAGGACACCGACAGCCUCGGUGAGAUGCUAGAGACUCGGGCAAACAGGCAGGGGCUGCCCGUGGUCACAGGGGGAUGCUGCUCCGUUUGGUGCUUCUUCUCUUUCAGCCAGAAACACACAGCGAUGGGACCAGACCAUGGCACAAUCCUGGCCUUGCUACACUCGACCACUCAGCUGGAAGGAAGAGCUGCCAGCUCUCUACAGGAGAGGUAAGAUCGCCCCAACCCACACCCACCGCACUCUAACAGCAAGCAGCGAGGUGACGCAUUUGGACCAGGAUGGCAGUGACCGCUCCAUCACGAUGACGGGACACGGAUGGAUGUGGUGAGACACUCAAGACCCUUGGUCAGAGAGGCUGGGGCAGCCUGUGGUCACAGGGGGAUGCUGCUAGGUUUGCUCCUUCUCUUAUUAAAGCCAGACACA
ensembl:lncRNA